AUUCCAGCCCUAAGGUCAGGACCCACUGGGACCUAACUGGCACAUACCCAGUGCUGAGCCAAUCACUGUGGCCAGGGAGGAUGGCCAGAUUGAGGUCCUGUGACCACCCUCCCUAAGGAAACUCCUGAGCUGUUCAACCUGUUUUCCUGUGUGGGAGUGAACCUGAGAGAACAGAGGAAAGACGUCAAACUCAUAAGCACGGUGUGGAACUGGAUUACCACUCCCCCCCAUUCGGUGCCCUGUAUCGAAGUGCCCUGCUCGGUUGGAGGAUUAUACAGCACGGCCCAUGUUGUCCUCAGGCAUGGCAGAGGGGCUGCUGAACAGUGAAAACAGAUGUGAGCACACGCGUUAAGAACCACCGAAAUUGGUCAUAGCCCCGUGGAAGAAGAAAGAUGCCUGAUGUGUCAGUAGGGAGGCGAGGGAUCCUUUUGAGGCAUGCCCAGUGGGAGGACUUUCUUUUUCUUCCGGUUGAGUCUAGUUUGUCUUCACUCUUUGAACACUUGGAGACAGGAAUUAAUUCCCCUGGUCACUGUGUCACUCAUUUGUCAGCUCACUCGGCUGCUCACCACAUCCAUGUGUUCCCAUCUUUAUUUAGCUCAGCCUUUUUUUUUUCAAGCAAGAAGGGAGAUUUCUUAGGAGAACAUAGACAGCCCAAGGACAAGCAGAGAAUAGAGUAGCUGGUCCUCCCCAAAGAUGGGAGCCAGCAACUGUUUAAGACAUGAGAAGCCAAGCCUGCUGUAUCUUUUGGCCAUUCUGGCGUCACACAUUCACUCACCUCUGCUCCUCUUUGUACAUCACUAGACCCUUCCAUCUUUUAAAUCUCUUGGCUUCUCUCCGUUUCCACUGCCAUGACCCUAGUGUAAAGUACUUUUCUUUUUUUUUUGCCUGGGAAACUGAGGCAGCCUCCUGAAUUUUCUCCCGAAUCCCACCCUUGCCCAUUUCCAAUCUGUGUCUCUCACUACAGCCAGAGGGAUUUUUAGAAAUGAACAGUUUAUUCAACAGAUUUCACUGAUCCUAGGAAAGACGUCAAACUCAUAAGCACAGUGUGGAACUGGAUUACCACUCCCCCCCAUUCGGUGCCCUGUAUGGAAGUGCCCUGCUCGGUUGGAGGAUUAUACAGCACGGCCCAUGUUGUCCUCAGGCAUGGCAGAGGGGCUGCUGAACAGUGAAAACAGAUGUGAGCACACGCGUUAAGAACCAGUGAGUAAUUUACCACUUUUCUUUUCCUUUUUCCACCACAAUGGCAAUAUUCCAGAUAGAGACAGACUGCUCUGUCAACCUGAGUGCAGAGGGGAGAGGAGACGAAGGAGAGCCACAUGUGCAUGUAGUCUGAGACAUAAAGAAACUUUAUUGUAGGCCA